CUGUGCCAACUCCAAUGGAUCCAAUCCAGGCCACUUUGUUGGCGUAGCAAUUCGCAGUGGAGAAGGAAAGGGAAUCAGGGUGAGGCAUGGAAAGUCCAAGGGGGAAAGGGCCUCGCAGGGUAGGGUGGAGGGAGUGGUGUGGUGCAGUGUAGUAGGGGGGUUUGGUGAUUGGAUGUGAGGGCUGUGGCGCCACUUUUUAAAGUUGGCGGAGUAAGGGCGGAGAGGUAGUACAAACCAGCGUGGAGGCUAGCGCUUGGCGCGAGAUCGCGGAGGGGAAUAUGGCCAUAUAGGAUUUUGCGAUGGUCUUUGUCCUCUAACUCUUGCCAUGGAAGCGAGUGGGGGCCUUGAGAGCUUUUCUUUUUCAAGGGUUGCUGGCUCUCCUCUCCUUGUCCGAGCCCUCCUUGUUCCUCCGUGUUUAUCCUUGCCUUGUUUGAUGUCAUGGAUUGGGACAGGAGCGCCCCAAGGCGGUGAACCGUUCCAACACCGGUUCUUUCUUUAACCCCGGGGGUUUUGGUGGGGCGUGUAGGGGUUGAGGCUCACUUUGAUGUUUUCUGUUGUUUGGUUGCAGGGGGUUCUAGCGCGCGGGUGAAGUAUGGUUGGACUGUGGUUGGAGCAAGUUGAAGCUUUCCGGUGGGCAGGUUUAACCUGAUUAUUCUAUGGAGUUUUUAAAAUGAGGUCAAGUAUGCAAGAGUCGUAUGCCCAAAUCAUAUGUUAUGCCAGAGGGGGAAAGAAACAAGCACUAGAGCCUCCGUGCAUGAUCUCUAGCUAGCAUAUGCUACCUGUAAGCUCGUCAAGCAGCCUCUCUAUCGCCAAGCUAGUUUUACCAGAUCAGAGCACUAAUAGCCUGCUGCGUUCUCUGGCCGUGUGGGCGCGGGCGUACAUGUGUGUGGUGUGCAUGUGUGGAUGUUUAGGGCCCUCCUUUUCGUUGUCAAAUGAGGUUUGCGUCACUGUUUGUCUGAAAGGGACGGGUCAUGUCAUAACUCGCUGAUCCAUGCAUCUCAAUUAUGUUGUCAUGGCUAGCUGCUGGUGCAUGGCUCCAGCAUGCACCCAUCAUCAUUUUUUUUUUUUGCUUUUUGUAUAAACACGCAAGCAAAUACAUUUGUCAAGGUCGCAAUCGAUGACCGAGUUGAUUA